rnacentral:rRNA from 1 species
AACUUUAGACAAUGGAUCCCUCGGCUCUUACUUCGAUGAAGAACGCAGCGAAUUGCGAUAAGUAAUGUGAAUUGCGCAUCUUCGUGAAUCAUCCAAUUUUUGAACGCAUAUUGCACCUACACCUAAACAUGUAGGUAUACCUAUUUCAGCGUCAGUUG